UACGUAGGGGGCGAGCGUUACCCGGAAUCACUGGGCGUAAAGGGAGCGUAGGUGGCCUGACAUGUCGACUGUGAAAACCCGGAGCUCAACUCCGGACUUGCAGUUGAAACUGCCAGGCUUGAGGACGGUAGAGGAAGACGGAACUGCCAGUGUAGGGGUAAAAUCCUUAGAUAUUGGCAGGAACGCCGGUGACGAAGGUGGUUCUCUGGGCCGGUUCUGACACUGAUGCUCGAAAGCCAGGGGAGCGAACGGGAUUAGAUACCCCCGUAGUCCCUGAGCGGG
rnacentral:rRNA from 1 species